CGUGUAGGCGGGUAUAUAAGUCAGAAGUGAAAUCCUAUAGCUUAACUAUAGAACUGCUUUUGAAACUGUAUACCUAGAAUGUGGGAGAGGUAGAUGGAAUUUCUGGUGUAGGGGUAAAAUACCGUAGAGAUCAGAAGGAAUACCGAUUGCGAAGGCGAUCUACUGGAACAUUAUUGACGCUGAGACGCGAAAGCGUGGGGAGCAAACA
rnacentral:rRNA from 1 species